ensembl:lncRNA
AUAAUAUAGAAGACAGCGCGCUAGCGUAUCUAGUCUGUGUAUAUCUAUGGUCGGCACGUCUGGUAGCAUCUCUGGCUGCUGUUGAUCUUGUUUUUGGAGUAAAACACGGUGGAAGCUGAAUUAGUGAGGAUGACUCCUGCUCCUGUCAUCUCUAAGCUCCUCACACAUCUUUACCUGCACAUGAGGAAAAUCACUCCUGUAGAAUGCAGUGGUUCAUCAGAACCUCUGGGGAUGUCCUGUGGAUUCUGUGGAUCCUGUGGGUUGCAGGGUGGGUCCUACCUAGACCAGGCUGAUCCUGGACCAUCC